rnacentral:tRNA from 1 species
GAGGGUAUAGCUCAGUGAUAGAGUACAUGCUUAUUAGCAUGCAUGAGAUCCUGGGUUCAAAUCCCCAGCACCUCCA